GACGAACGCUGGCGGCGUGCUUAACACUUGCAAGUCGAACGGAAAGGCCCUGCUUUUGUGGGGUGCUCGAGUGGCGAACGGGUGAGUAACACGUGAGUAACCUGCCCUUGACUUUGGGAUAACUUCAGGAAACUGGGGCUAAUACCGGAUAGGAGCUCCUGCUGCAUGGUGGGGGUUGGAAAGUUUCGGCGGUUGGGGAUGGACUCGCGGCUUAUCAGCUUGUUGGUGGGGUAGUGGCUUACCAAGGCUUUGACGGGUAGCCGGCCUGAGAGGGUGACCGGCCACAUUGGGACUGAGAUACGGCCCAGACUCCUACGGGAGGCAGCAGUGGGGAAUAUUGCACAAUGGGCGGAAGCCUGAUGCAGCAACGCCGCGUGCGGGAUGACGGCCUUCGGGUUGUAAACCGCUUUCGCCUGCGACGAAGCGUGAGUGACGGUAAUGGGUAAAGAAGCACCGGCUAACUACGUG
rnacentral:rRNA from 1 species